ensembl:lncRNA
CUGACAUCAGAGGAUUCUGUUUUUCUUGGGCCUGGGCUGUCUCCAUGUCAAUUGUAGUCACCCAUCAACCCUUGAAGUGACUCUUCAGUAAUUAGAUCUUUGAUUUCCUGUGGGACCUGAAGAAGAGUCUGUUGUGACCUAUGGCUACACUGGCUAGGAGACUGGUGGGAGGUGUAAUCCAAAAAAGUAACUUUGCCAAGCUCUGCUCGGUCUUUUAUUGCUAUACAUCAGAGAGGAUGUCAUGGCAGGUUACUGCAGUACUCAUAUUCUGGCCACCAGAGGAAGGACAAAGACAGACCUAGAUUCUUUCUUACUACUACCACCAUCAGAGUAACAGCCAGGUACCAAACAGGUUAAAUGGAGUGAAGAUUUGGACUGAUUUCCCAGCAGCCAGAAGCUU